AUUUCAGCCUUUCUUCUUUUCUCAUCUAAGCAUUUAAAGUUGUCUAUUCCUCCUAGAGGUGCCUGGUGGCUUAGUCAGUUAAGCUCACAUUUUGGCUCACAUCAUGAUCUCAGGGGUGUGAGUUCUAGCCCUGUGUCUAGCUUCAUAUUCAGCAUGGAGCCUGCUUGAGAUUCUCUCUUCCUCUUCAUCUACCUCUCUCCCUGCUUGCAUGCUCUCUCUCUCUCUCUCUCUCAAAUAAAUAAAUAAAGUCUUUUUUUUUUUUUUUUUUUUAAAGUAAAGCUAUCUAUUCCUCAAGUGUUGACUUGGCUAUGUUCAUUAAUUUUGAUGUGUAGCAUUUUCACUGACAUUCAGCUCUAUAUAAGUUCUAAUUUCCACUUUAGUUCUUUCUUUGAUCUUUGACUUAUUUAGAAGUAUGCUCAUAAAUUUUUAAAAUCAUAAGAUUCUCUUUGUUUUGUUGUUUAAUUCCAACUGAAUUGCUUUGUGGUUAGAGAAUGCAGUGUGAAUGCUUUGCUUCUGAAUCUUGCUGGACUUGCUUUAUGUCUGGAAGACUAGGUUUUGUAUAUUAGGUGAAAGCCAUAGGGGUGGUACUUUACAUACAUUAUCUUGACUUUUCCCAACAGAGAUUCCAACACAAAAUCACAUGUAUUUAACGGAUGAAGAAACUGAGGCUCAGAGAGGUAAGUGGAGGAGGCAAGAGCUAAUUCAGGGCUGUGAAUUCCUGCAUUUAUCUACCUUCGUUUUCCUGUGUAGACACAAGGCUGCCUGGCUUCAGAGAGGUGAGGAAAACCAGGCAGGUAGAGAGAGGGCAAGAGCUGUGUAUGUGCCCAUUGUGGGGACACCCAUGGAGUGAAAAGCAAGAAACGUGACUCCACCCUGCAAGGGGCCCAGGGUAUUGGGCAACUGUAGGCCAACCCAUUCGGCUCUUCCUCAUUUGGCCAGGACACUGGCUGAGCAUGAAGCCUUCUUUCAGGACUCUUCAUGUGAACAAAUUGUACACAGUCCUUGAUUUCAUCACUGCCUUUGAGGGCUCAGAACCUUGUAAGUAUGCUUUAGCUGGGCAUUCCUUAUUCUUUUGUAUACUUCUGUUGGUUCUCUGAGUCUGGGACUGAUAACGUAGUUCAAAACUCAUGAGGUGUUGUCAGAUGUCACCUUAGCUUUCUGAGGAAGACUCAAAGAAUAUAUGCCUAGCUGAAGCCAACAUGGAUAUCCUCAUGGAUAGUUGGGUAAUUGGCUUUUGGGGAAAUGAGCUCUGCAUUUGGGCCUCUCUGAAAUCUCCAUAAUAAAUCAUUGAUGGGAAAAGUAAUACCUCCUCA
rnacentral:lncRNA from 1 species